UGGUAAGUUUGUUUUUGGUAUAAGCUUUUGUGUGCAUGCACACUUCUUCAGAUGUAAAGAUUGGUAUCUGAAGAAGUGUGCAUGCACACAAAAGCUUAUACCAAGAACAAACUUAGUUGG
rnacentral:miRNA from 1 species